AACAUACCAGAGGAAAUGGCACCUGAAAUUUUUCAUGGUGACUUAUUUGAAUUUCUGGCACAUCAUGACAAAACAAUUGCUGCAAUAAAGGAAAAGCGGGAUGCAUGUGUAAGGGAAUUAGCAAGACUGGAAAAAGAACUUGUCCAAAGUAAAUAAACCAAAGCCAGAAGAACCUCAAAAUUCUUUGUUGUUUUCGUGCAAAGUUCAUGUUCCCGUAAUGGUGUGCUCAGGCGAAAUAAUGGGUCAUGUUUCCUGAAAAAGCAAUUGUCCCAUUUCAGAAAAGCCUCAAUGGCAAAACAUUUGGCAAGAAAGAGGGUCUUGAGCUGAUAAUGGAGAAAGACAGAGCAGUUAAUGGAGCCCAAUUGACAUUAUUCACCUUUUAUAACCUGG